rnacentral:rRNA from 1 species
AUUGAACGCUGGCGGCAGGCCUAACACAUGCAAGUCGAACGAGUGGCGGACGGGUGAGUAAUGUCUGGGAAUGUGCCUGAUGGAGGGGGAUCACUAGUGGAAACGAGAGCUAAUACCGCAUACCCUCAGAUGUGCCCAGAUGGGAUUAGCUAGUUGGUGGGGUAACGGCUCACCAAGGCGACGAUCCCUAGCUGGUCUGAGAGGAUGAACAGCCACACUGGAACUGAGACACGGCCCAGACUCCUACGGGAGGCAGCAGUGGGGAAUAUUGCACAAUGGGCGCAAGCCUGAUGCAGCCAUGCCGCGUGUAUGAAGAAGGCCUUAGGGUUGUAAAGUACUUUCAGCGGGGAGGCGUUACCCGCAGAAGAAGCACCGGCUAACUCCGUGCCAGCAGCCGCGGUAAUUC